rnacentral:rRNA from 1 species
AUACGGAGGGGGCUAGCGUUGUUCGGAAUUACUGGGCGUAAAGCGUACGUAGGCGGACUGAUCAGUUGGGGGUGAAAUCCCAGGGCUUAACCCUGGAACUGCCUUCAAUACUGUCAGUCUUGAGAUUGGAAGAGGUGAGUGGAAUUCCUAGUGUAGAGGUGAAAUUCAUAGAUAUUAGGAGGAACACCAGUGGCGAAGGCGGCUCACUGGUCCAAUACUGACGCUGAGGUACGAAAGCGUGGGGAGCAAACAGGAUUAGAAACCCUUGUAGUCC